UCCCUCUUAGCUCAGUUGGUAGAAUGUAUCACUAGUGGGUUAUCUCUCAGUAUGUUUAUGAUGAGGUCAGUUGUUCAAGUUGGCUAGAGGGAA